AGUAGUCCCAUCAGUGAGGAGGAAACAGCCUGAUGUGUUGAGGACAGCUACAGUUGACUGACUCUGUGUGUUUGCAUAUCUGUCCUGCCUCUCUGCUCCCAGCCGUUAAGAGGCCAGUGUUGAUCAGUGGCUGUCCAGGCCUUUCAGAGCCACUGACACGCCGGCAGCACAAUCAUCAUGUCUCUGACUCUACUGCUGGCCACCCUGGGGCUCCUUGUUCAGGGUUCAUCAGGAGACAUCAUCCUGACUCAGUCUCCUGGAUCUCAGUCUGUUGUUCUGGGACAGACUGUCUCUAUCAAAUGUAAAGCCAGCACAGAUAUUGAUGAUGAUCUCCACUGGUACCUUCAGAAACCUGGAGAAGCUCCUAAACUCCUGAUUAGAUAUGCUACAACUCGUCAGUCUGGAGUUUCAGAUCGUUUUAGUGGAAGUGGAUCUGGGACUGACUACACUCUGACCAUCAGUAGAGUCCAGACUGAAGAUUCAGGAGUUUACUACUGUCAGCAGAGUAACAGCGGGUUCACACAGUGAUACAACGUCGUACAAAAACCUCCCUCAGCUGCAGAGGAACUGAUCUGACUCAACAGCUGCACUGACACUAAAACAACAGAGGUUUGACAUAAAUGAAUGGAUAAAUAAUAAUGUGGACAUUUGAAGGAUUACUAACCUGAAUUAAUUUUAAUUCAUAAUUAAUUAUAUUUCUUAAAUAUUUAAUUAGUCUCCAGUUUGAAUUAGGAUUAGUCUUACUCUACAAUUUAUUGAGUCAGAACCAAAAACAUCAAGCAUGUACAAGAGAUCAUUUUAUCUUUUAUUUCACUCAGAUUACUGUAAAGUUAAAUCUAAACUCUGCUAUUUAAAUAUAAUUCAGCUGCAAUAAGUAUUUUACUAUGUUUUUUCAGUGCUUGAAUAUUACAAACAUCAGUGUCCCCAGACUGAAUUGAAAUCUCAGGACACUGAAGCUCCAGAUCUGCAAUGGAACAAAUGGUGCAUGUAUGUCAAUCACAUCACUGUAAUCUAACACUGAUAUGAAUGAGCUUCUAAAUGAAAGAGCAGAAAAAGGCCAAGUUUAGACCUGAGCUUUUUCAAGAAGUUAUCAGUGUGCACAGUAAAAGCCAUGUAAGAAUGAGGGUGACUUAUACAGCAGAGCACACUGGGCCCAGGUGUGGCUCAUGAAGCUAACGACUCUCCAAUCAGCACCUGCAAUACAAGGUGGAGGGGUUGUCACACAAGACAUACAGAACAUGUCACUGAAAACAAGAGUAUGGUAGAGGAUCUACUAUGACAUGAGGCCU